CUCACUGCAGCUGCUGGACGCUGCACAAGAUUAGAUAUUUUAGAACUCUUGUGCGUGUGACAGCGGCUAUUGUGGG
rnacentral:pre_miRNA from 1 species